rnacentral:rRNA from 1 species
UACGGAGGGUGCAAGCGUUAUCCGGAUUCACUGGGUUUAAAGGGUGCGUAGGCGGGCAGGUAAGUCCGUGGUGAAAUCUCUGAGCUUAACUCAGAAACUGCCAUGGAUACUAUUUGUCUUGAAUAUUGUGGAAGUAAGCGGAAUAUGUCAUGUAGCGGUGAAAUGCUUAGAUAUGACAUAGAACACCAAUUGCGAAGGCAGCUUACUACACAGUUAUUGACGCUGAGGCACGAAAGCGUGGGGAUCAAACAGG